rnacentral:rRNA from 1 species
GACGAACGCUGGCGGCGUGCCUAAUACAUGCAAGUAGAACGCACAGUUUAUACCGUAGCUUGCUACACCAUAAACUGUGAGUUGCGAACGGGUGAGUAACGCGUAGGUAACCUGCCUGGUAGCGGGGGAUAACUAUUGGAAACGAUAGCUAAUACCGCAUAAUAUUGAUUAUUGCAUGAUAAUUGAUUGAAAGAUGCUAUUGCAUCACUACCAGAUGGACCUGCGUUGUAUUAGCUAGUAGGUGAGGUAACGGCUCACCUAGGCGACGAUACAUAGCCGACCUGAGAGGGUGAUCGGCCAAACUGGGACUGAGACACGGCCCAGACUCCUACGGGAGGCAGCAGUAGGGAAUCUUCGGCAAUAGACGAAAGUCUGACCGAGCAACGCCGCGUGAGUGAAGAAGGUUUUCGGAUCGUAAAGCUCUGUUGUAAGAGAAGAACGGGUGUGAGAGUGGAAAGUUCACACUGUGACGGUAUCUUACCAGAAAGGGACGGCUAACUACGUG